UACAGAGGUCUCAAGCGUUGUUCGGAUUCAUUGGGCGUAAAGGGUGCGUAGGUGGCGCGCUAAGUCAGGUGUGAAAUUUCGGAGCUUAACUCCGAAACUGCAUUUGAUACUGGCGUGUUUGAGGACUGGAGAGGAGACUGGAAUUCAUGGUGUAGCAGUGAAAUGCGUAGAGAUCAUGAGGAACACCGAUGGCGAAGGCAGGUCUCUGGGCCAUAACUGACGCUGAGAAGCGAAAAGCAUGGGGGAGCGAACAGG
rnacentral:rRNA from 1 species